UACGUAGGGGGCAAGCGUUGUCCGGAUUUAUUGGGCGUAAAGAGCGUGUAGGCGGCCUGACAAGUCUGCUGUGAAAACUCGAGGCUCAACCUCGAGAUGUCGGCGGAAACUGUCUGGCUAGAGUCCGGAAGAGGAGAGUGGAAUUCCUGGUGUAGCGGUGAAAUGCGCAGAUAUCAGGAAGAACACCUAUGGCGAAGGCAGCUGUCUGGGCCGGUACUGACGCUGAGACGCGAAAGCGUGGGGAGCGAACAGG
rnacentral:rRNA from 1 species